rnacentral:rRNA from 1 species
UGGGGAAUUUUGGACAAUGGGCGCAAGCCUGAUCCAGCAAUGCCGCGUGCAGGAUGAAGGCCUUCGGGUUGUAAACUGCUUUUGUACGGAACGAAACGGCGAGCUCUAAUACAGUUUGCUAAUGACGGUACCGUAAGAAUAAGCACCGGCUAACUACGUGCAAGCAGCCGCGGUAAUACGUAGGGUGCAAGCGUUAAUCGGAAUUACUGGGCGUAAAGCGUGCGCAGGCGGUUAUGUAAGACAGAUGUGAAAUCCCCGGGCUUAACCUGGGAACUGCAUUUGUGACUGCAUAGCUAGAGUACGGUAGAGGGGGAUGGAAUUCCGCGUGUAGCAGUGAAAUGCGUAGAUAUGCGGAGGAACACCGAUGGCGAAGGCAAUCCCCUGGACCUGUACUGACGCUCAUGCACGAAAGCGUGGGGAGCAAACA